AGCUUUGUGCACCUGCAGUAUUGCAGCCAAUGAGGUUUAUCUGAGUCUGUGAUUAUUGCUAAUUGAAAUCUUUUCACAAUACUCCACCAUGACAACUUGCAAUAUAGUUGGCCACUGGCAAUUUUUGACAGUCUCUUCAGAAA